UACGAAGGGGGCUAGCGUUGCUCGGAAUCACUGGGCGUAAAGCGCACGUAGGCGGACUCUUAAGUCGGUGGUGAAAUCCUGGAGCUCAACUCCAGAACUGCCUUCGAUACUGGGAGUCUCGAGUUCGGGAGAGGUGAGUGGAACUGCGAGUGUAGAGGUGAAAUUCGUAGAUAUUCGCAAGAACACCAGUGGCGAAGGCGGCUCUCUGGGACGGUACUGACGCUGAGACGCGAAAGCGUGGGGAGCGAACAGG
rnacentral:rRNA from 1 species